rnacentral:rRNA from 1 species
UGGGGAAUAUUGCACAAUGGGGGAAACCCUGAUGCAGCGACGCCGCGUGAACGAAGAAGGUAUUCGUAUCGUAAAGUUCUGUCCUAUGGGAAGAUAAUGACAGUACCAUAGAAGAAAGCUCCGGCUAAAUACGUGCCAGCAGCCGCGGUAAUACGUAUGGAGCGAGCGUUGUCCGGAAUUAUUGGGCGUAAAGGGUACGCAGGCGGUUUAAUAAGUCGAAUGUUAAAGAUCGGGGCUCAACCCCGCAAAGAAUUGGAAACUGAUAAACUUGAGUAGUGGAGAGGAAAGUGGAAUUCCUAGUGUAGUGGUGAAAUACGUAGAUAUUAGGAGGAAUACCAGUAGCGAAGGCGACUUUCUGGACUCAAACUGACGCUGAGGUACGAAAGCGUGGGGAGCAAACAGG